GGGGAAUCUUCCGCAAUGGACGAAAGUCUGACGGAGCAACGCCGCGUGAGUGAAGAAGGUUUUAGGAUCGUAAAGCUCUGUUGUUUAGGACGAAUGUGCCUUAUGCGAAUAGUAUGAGGUAAUGACGGUACUAAACGAGAAAGCCACGGCUAACUACGUGCCAGCAGCCGCGGUAAUACGUAGGUGGCAAGCGUUGUCCGGAAUUAUUGGGCGUAAAGGGAGCGCAGGUGGGAAAAUAAGUCUGUUUUAAAAGUGCGGGGCUCAACCCCGUGAUGGAAUGGAAACUGUUUUUCUUGAGUGCAGGAGAGGAAAGUGGAAUUCCUAGUGUAGCGGUGAAAUGCGUAGAUAUUAGGAGGAACACCAGUGGCGAAGGCGACUUUCUGGACUGUAACUGACACUGAGGCUCGAAAGCCAGGGUAGCGAAC
rnacentral:rRNA from 1 species